rnacentral:rRNA from 1 species
UACGUAGGGGGCAAGCGUUAUCCGGAUUUACUGGGUGUAAAGGGAGCGCAGGCGGUCUGGCAAGUCUGAUGUGAAAUACCGGGGCUCAACUCCGGGACUGCAUUGGAAACUGUCAGACUGGAGUGUCGGAGAGGCAGGCGGAAUUCCUAGUGUAGCGGUGAAAUGCGUAGAUAUUAGGAGGAACACCAGUGGCGAAGGCGGCCUGCUGGACGACAACUGACGGUGAGGCGCGAAAGCGUGGGGAGCAAACAGG